UACGUAGGGCGCAAGCGUUGUCCGGAAUUAUUGGGCGUAAAGAGCUCGUAGGCGGCUUGUCGCGUCGGAUGUGAAAGCCCGGGGCUUAACUCCGGGUCUGCAUUCGAUACGGGCAGGCUAGAGUUCGGUAGGGGAGAUCGGAAUUCCUGGUGUAGCGGUGAAAUGCGCAGAUAUCAGGAGGAACACCGGUGGCGAAGGCGAGUCCCUGGACAACUUCUGACGCUGAGGCACGAAAGCUAGGGGAGCAAACAGG
rnacentral:rRNA from 1 species